rnacentral:misc_RNA from 1 species
GAUGAAGAACGUAGCGAAAUGCGAUAAGUAAUGUGAAUUGCAGAAUUCAGUGAAUCAUCGAAUCUUUGAACGCACAUUGCGCCCCUUGGUAUUCCGGGGGGCAUGUCUGUUCGAGCGUCAUUAUAACCCCUCAAGCUCAGCUUGGUGUUGGGGCCUGCCGACUGGCAGCCCUUAAAAUCAGUGGCGGCGCCAUCUGGCUCUAAGCGUAGUAAUUUCUCUCGCUAUAGAGUCCCGGUGGAUGCUUGCCAGCAACCCCCAACUUUCUAUGGUUGACCUCGGAUCAGGUAGGGAUACCCGCUGAACUUAAGCAUAUCAAUAAGCGGAGGA